UACGUAGGGUGCAAGCGUUGUCCGGAAUUAUUGGGCGUAAAGAGCUCGUAGGCGGUUUGUCGCGUCUGCUGUGAAAACUCGGGGCUUAACUCCGGGCCUGCAGUGGGUACGGGCAGACUAGAGUGCGGGAGAGGAGAGUGGAAUUCCUGGUGUAGCGGUGAAAUGCGCAGAUAUCAGGAAGAACACCCGUGGCGAAGGCGGCUCUCUGGAACGCAACUGACGCUGAGACGCGAAAGCGUGGGGAGCAAACAGG
rnacentral:rRNA from 1 species